GCAGCGUUGGAACAUUUUCUGACAGGACGCGUGCGUCUUGUCAACCACACACACAAUGUGAAUCACUAAACCUUCAGCUGAUGCAACCAGGAACAGCUUCAACUGACGCUGAAUGUGGAAAUGACAGUUUAAAUAACUCAGCAGUUGUAAUCAUCGUUCCACUGGUUGUUUUGGGUCUUUUGGUGGUUGCAGUCGCCUUGUUUUUAUGGAAAAGAUAUCGUUCAGGAAAAAUAAGAUAUGUAUCCUCUUCCAUAAAGGAAAACACAACUGGAAGAGAAACU